rnacentral:pre_miRNA from 1 species
UUUGAGAGGUUGAAGCUGCCAGCAUGAUCUGGUAAAUCACAUACUUUUUUUUUUCUCACCUCUCAUGCCUAAUUUUUAAGCACCAGUCAUUAGAGAAAAUAAUGGUGAAAAAUCCAUCUAUUCAAUUUUUUUUUUCAAAUUCAAGGUUUCCAGUAUGUAUCACUAAUGGUGAAAAAAGUGAUGGAAUUUUGUAGAACAUGGGUUAAAUUUACUUUUUUUUUUUUUGAGUUUUCAUUUUCUUCAAGUUUCUGAGCCAAGAAAUAAAAGAGACUUAUAAAUUGGAAUUAAUACUUAAAGGAAACCCACCAGAAGGGCAAUUUGGUUAUCAUAAGAUGUGGUUUCCAUCAGGUCAUCUUGCAGCUUCAAUCACUCAAU